UAGCCGCUCAGUGCAGCGCGGCGCUGAGCUUAGCGCAAAUCCACAUUUUGCAUUUACUUCGUUUUUAUUCAGUUGCUGGAAAACUCGCGGAACACACAGUCUAGUCUAGUCUAGUGUCUAGCGCGAGCAGCUACAUACAAGCUACAUACAUAGGAGCAAAGCGAAUGGCAUAUUGGCGAUUUCCGACGUGACCUGCGUUAUGCAAAGUGCUCCACGCAAACCAA
rnacentral:lncRNA from 1 species